rnacentral:ncRNA from 1 species
CGAGCUCCGGUUCACGCUGCACCACCGCCCGCCGCACGGCGGGCACGGCGACCCGGCGGCU